GAAGAACGCUAGCGGCAGGCCUAAUACAUGCAAGUCGAACGGUGUCUUCGGACAUAGUGGCGCACGGGUGCGUAACACGUAUGCAACCUACCUUACAUUGGGGGAUAGCCUUUCGAAAGGGAGAUUAAUACCGCAUAAGACAGUAGCUGGGCAUCCAGCAGCUGUUAAAGAUUUAUCGAUGUAAGCUGAGCAUGCGUCCAAUUAGCUAGUUGGUGAGGUAACGGCUCACCAAGGCAAUGAAUGGUAGGGGAACUGAGAGGUCAAUCCCCCACACUGGCACUGAGAUACGGGCCAGACUCCUACGGGAGGCAGCAGUAGGGAAUAUUGGGCAAUGGACGCAAGUCUGACCCAGCCAUGCCGCGUGCAGGAUGAAGGCGUUAUGCGUUGUAAACUGCUUUUAUACAGGAAGAAACGACUCUUGCGAGAGGCAUUGGCGGUACUGUAUGAAUAAGCACCGGCUAACUCCGUGCCAGCCGCCGCGGUAAUAC
rnacentral:rRNA from 1 species